rnacentral:rRNA from 1 species
UACGAGUACCCCAAGUGUUAUCCGGAAUUAUUGGGCGUAAAGGGUGUGUAGGCGGUUGCAUUAGUCUCUUGUCAAAUCCUCGAGCUUAACUCGAGGUCUGCGAGGGAAACGGUGCGACUAGAGAGUGCGAGAGGUGUACGGAACUCAUAGUGUAGGGGUGAAAUCCGUUGAUAUUAUGGGGAACACCAAAGGCGAAGGCAGUACACUGGCGCACAUCUGACGUUCAAACACGAAAGCGUGGGUAGCGAAUGGG